rnacentral:rRNA from 1 species
AUUGAACGCUGGCGGCAGGCCUAACACAUGCAAGUCGAACGAGUGGCGGACGGGUGAGUAAUGUCUGGGAAACUGCCCGAUGGAGGGGGAUAACUACUGGAAACGGUAGCUAAUACCGCAUACCAUCGGAUGUGCCCAGAGGGGAGUAGCUAGGAGGUGGGGUAACGGCUCACCUAGGCGACGAUCCCUAGCUGGUCUGAGAGGAUGACCAGCCACACUGGAACUGAGACACGGUCCAGACUCCUACGUGAGGCAGCAGUGGGGAAUAUUGCAAAAUGGGGGCAAGCCUGAUGCAGCCAUGCCGCGUGGAUGAAGGAGGCCCUCGGGUUGUAAAGUACUUUCAGCGAGGAGGCGUUACUCACAGAAGAAGCAUCGGCUAACUCCGUGCCAGCAGCCGCGGUAAUUC